rnacentral:rRNA from 1 species
GAUGAACGCUAGCGGCAGGCCUAACACAUGCAAGUCGAGGGAGAAGCCUUUCGGGGCAGAAACCGGCGCACGGGUGCGUAACGCGUAUGCAACCUACCUUUCACAGGGGGAUAGCCCGAAGAAAUUUGGAUUAAUACCCCAUAAUAUUGUUGGAUGGCAUCAUCUGAUAAUUACAACUGCGGUGGUGAAAGAUGGGCAUGCGUCCUAUUAGCUAGUUGGAGUGGUAACGGCACCCCAAGGCUACGAUAGGUAGGGGUCCUGAGAGGGAGAUCCCCCACACUGGUACUGAGACAGGGACCAGACUCCUACGGGAGGCAGCAGUGAGGAAUAUUGGGAAAUGGGCGGAAGACUGAACCAGCCAUGCCGCGUGCAGGAAGAAUGCCUUAUGGGUUGUAAACUGCUUUUAUAUGGGAAGAAUAAGGUGUACGUGUACAUUGAUGACGGUACCAUAUGAAUAAGCAUCGGCUAACACCGUG